CUCAUCGCUGCGUCUUCCCUCAUCGUCGUCCUUGCCCUGCUCCCUCAUCGUCAUCUUCCUCAUUCUGAUCUCUGCGCCUUCCCUCAUCUGCAUCUGCUCGCCCUCAUCUGCUCCGACUUGUCUGCAAUUUCGUGUCUGGGUUUCACAAGAGGAAGAAGAAGAGGAGAAGGGAAGCUGAGCAGAAGCAAGGAGAGGCAUUGCGGCGGAAACGUCUCAAGCUGUGCAAAAAGGGGAAUUCUAUAUCGACUACAAAGUACAACUUCAUUACAUUUUUGCCGAAAGGACUCUUUGAACAGGUAAUUCA